rnacentral:lncRNA from 1 species
UUGCCGAGUAGCUGUGCCAUGGAGGCCCUGGAGUAGGGCACGACGAUCUCCAGGAGCUGCCAGAAGCGUGAGGCACGGGGGUUCGCGCCUUGGCGCAAGGAUGCCGGUCACAACAUUUUUACAAAGCAUGUAACAAUUUGUCGGUAGGAACCCAAGUAUAGCAUGUGCAGACAACCAAUUGUGUUAGAAGCAAAACAUAAUGAGACUGAAGAUGACAUCAGGUUAUAAGGCAGAAUCAAGCUCGGUGCUUUCAUACGACCAGAGAUAAAACACAGGACCAUACAUUACUUUGUAUGACUAAGAUAGGUAUUAAAAUCUAAAGUCUAUACAUGUCUUUUUUUGCGAUGGUAUACAUGUCUUUGUUCAGAGCACACCCUGACUAAUAAGACCACCACAUCUAGAAUAAAAACAGUAAAGAAUCCCAAGGCCAAAGCACACCCUGAACAUUAACUUGCAUAUUGUUGGCAGCAAAAAGUAGAACUACCAAAAUCAACCCAAUAACUAAUUAGGCCAAACACUAUAGGAGGCAAACAUGUUUAUAGCUAACAAUAGUUUGCAUUCAUAGGGACAGCCGAUCUCUAACUUAGUACCCUAUAUUGUACAACCAUGCAUCUCAUCUCAAAGACCAUUCAGGUUUAUUCAUGUCAUGCUUGAAAUAUAUAUAUCUGUUACUACAUGGACAAACAUUGGUAUGAGAGAGAAGAAAUCUUUACAUAAGAGACAGAAGAGUUCCUAACCAGACUAAAUCAAGGACCAACAAUGAACAAUAAAGGAUCAAGAAACAACUUAUAUGCAAUAAAGUUAUAAGUGAGAAUAAAUCUUUACACAAGACGGCUAUAAACACUGGAGCAUAAGUAAGCAACGCCUUUAAAUACAAAUAAAAAGGGCUUGAUGUUCAUUGCAUAGUGGGCUCAGAUUUGCCUUUCCUCGAUCAUAUAACCUACCCCCAUCAUCUCUUAUCACCAGAUCAAUCUGUUUAUACAAUGGAGCUGCCCUGGUUAUCAAUCAACAAGAAUGACCAUCCAAUGACAGAUCAAUAGGUAUCACAGGAUCAAAAAGGAUUCUAGAGACAACAGGGAGGAUCCAACUUGAUACCCACAGGUACCUCGAUUGCUCAAAGGCACACUUAUUUCAGCCACAGUUAAUCAUCAUCGCCCUAGCACGAACGCCACCGCCACAGACAAAGCAAAAUGACAAGAAUACCCUCGGCGGGACACCAAAAUAACGCGCGGUGGCACGAAACGGAGUGAAACUAUUCAUUCCAGCAGUGUUUGCCCCAGAUCCAACGGCCCAGCCUUCUCCAGAUCUCGAUCGGACGGACGAAAACGCAUCAAGGGGAAUGAUCC